CAACAUGCAUAGCAACCAGAGUAUCACGUGAAAAACAACAUGUAGCCAUUUAGGGGAAAUCCCUAUAGGCUUUUGAACCUGUAAAUAUGGUAGGACAAGAGAUGAGCUUCAAGAAAAUACCCGACUUAAGUCUUCAAGAUGAUCUACAAGGUUACUACGGCAGAGGAUAGCAUGGGAAGUGCUUUGGAUAGGCAGUGCUGUGGUGGAUUUGUAGAAGUUUUCCAGUACUUCACUUUUCUGUCACUGAAAGGAAAAGUUUCAUGGAUGCUUAUGAUACUUUUGCUCUCGAGGUUACAAUUUUUCUAGCACAGUUACAGGCUACUGAACCUGGUGUUAAGCUGUGUGUUAGUCUGUUGGAACAGUUACAGUAGUCAAGUGACUGAGUCAGGCUUAUUUCACUUUUAGUUCUCAUCACAGAUGUAACAGUGACUGUUACUAUGCUAGUCUACAUAAUUCAAUAGUGUGUGUCGAUGUGCUCUGUCUUUGUCAUUCAAGUAGCAGCUGUUAUUUAAACGAACUUGACAAUGUAUGUGUAUCUUAACUGUUUCUAGUGUGUGUAAAUAAUGUUGCAGUGUAUGCAGUCUACUUCCAAACUUCAUUCAACAACUCUACAGUGACUUUCAAGAUGCUGUAUUGCUUGAUAUAGGAUAUUUAGGCUAUACAAUCAAAUUCGAAACAUCGUCUGGUAUAGUGGUAUUGGGAUUUAAAAAAUUGUAACUAGAACAAAUGUUAUAUGGACGUGUAGCUCAACUCCUUAUGAAUCUGUUUCU